AUGGCCAGGUGUCCAGUGUUAGAUGCAGCUGGUGGAGUCUGGAGGAGACCUGGUGAAGCCUGGAGGUCCCUGAAACUCUCCUAUGCAGCCUCUGGAUUCACCUUCAGUAGUUACUGGAUGAGCUGUCUCUGCCAGGCUCCAGGGAAGGAGCUGCAGUGGGUUGGGGAAAUUAAAAGUAAUGGAAGUAGCAUAAACUAUGCAGACCCUGUGAAGGGCCGAUUCACCAUCUCCAGGGACAAUGGCAAAAACACACUGUAUCUGCAGAUGAACAACCUGAGAGCUGAGGACAUGGCCCUGUAUUACUGUGUGAGAGACACAGUGAGGGGACAUAACUGUGAGACCAGACAGAAACCUGUGUAG